AUAAGUGUGUACAGUUAGAAAAUGGUUCACAAGGCCUGUGCUGCUUGCAUGAUGAUUCUCUUCACCCUAUUGCCACUGUUCUCAACCAAUAUGGUCUUCGUUGAAGGUUCCCGAAUUCUAAGCGGCAAAAUGACCAAGUGUCGGUUGGAUUCCAUGGAUAUUAUAAAGGCAAAGCUACAAAAGGGGUCUGUUCCACCAUCACCAGGGAACAGUCCAACAGUCAACGUACCAGUUCCAGGACCCAUAGCAGCACCUCAUGGUUGAAAUAUUUGAUUUGGCUGAUGAAAAUAUCUUAACGAUCAGAAGGCCUCUGUUCAGUUUUUACUUUGUUGUAUCCUCUGUUUUUGUUUCUUUUCUUCUGUUUUCUUCUUGCUUCCUUGUUCUGGGAAGCCUGUGUUUGUUCUCUUGUUUCUCUGUUUCUAUGAAAGUUCUCUUCAGCCAAAAAACCAAAAAAAAAAAAAAAAAACAAACGAACAAUGCUAGCUAUUAUACAUAUUUCUUGAUAUAAUAAUAAAAAUAUUUCAACCUUUUGGAGUUA